rnacentral:rRNA from 1 species
GACGAACGCUGGCGGCGUGCUUAACACAUGCGAGUCGAACGGAAAGGCCCUGCUUUUGUGGGGUGCUCGAGUGGCGAACGGGUGAGUAACACGUGAGUAACCUGCCCUUGACUUUGGGAUAACUUCAGGAAACUGGGGCUAAUACCGGAUAGGAGCUCCUGCUGCAUGGUGGGGGUUGGAAAGUUUCGGCGGUUGGGGAUGGACUCGCGGCUUAUCAGCUUGUUGGUGGGGUAGUGGCUUACCAAGGCUUUGACGGGUAGCCGGCCUGAGAGGGUGACCGGCCACAUUGGGACUGAGAUACGGCACAGACUCCUACGGGAGGCAGCGGUGGGGAAUAUUGCACAAUGGGCGGAAGCCUGAUGCAGCAACGCCGCGUGCGGGAUGACGGCCUUCGGGUUGUAAACCGCUUUCGCCUGUGACGAAGCGUGAGUGACGGUAAUGGGUAAAGAAGCACCGGCUAACUACGUG